UGCUGCCGCUGCCGAUGCCGACGGAAACAGGAUACCUUUGUCUCCCUUUUUGACUCUGUCAAGUGAGACAACAAAAGUGGGGUAAUAAAUAUAAAGGUAUCCAUACUAUGAUUAAGAAGUUAAACAGUUAAAAUAAGAAACUGUGCCUUCUAAAAAACAGUCUAAAAUUCAAAAACUUAAAAGUUAGAAUCCUUCAUUUUUCAACAUUCUUAAAACAUA
rnacentral:lncRNA from 1 species